AUAUAAUAUGUUUGUCCGCAGCUGAAUGAUGAUGACAAGACAGAUGGCCGGGAGCAGGAGGAGGAUGUUGAGCUUGACGAGGAUUUCCUGCGGUGGUACCGGGAGCAGAGACUUCGGGAGAUGCAGCAGAAAGCCGCCAGCUUACCGACGUUUGGACAUGUUUUUGACCUGACGAGAAGUCAAUAUGUGGACGCCAUCGACAAGGAGAACAAACAUGUCUUAAUCAUCAUCCACAUCUUUGAGCAGUUUGUGCCAGGAUGUGAUGCCGUCAACGGCUGUUUUCAGUGUCUAGCUCAGGACCAUCCUCGGGUAAAGUUCUGCCGGAUCCAGUCGUCGGAGGCAGACGUCAGUCAGACAUUCACGUCCAAAGGCCUGCCUGCGAUUCUGGCGUACCGGGGCGGCCAGCUGGUGGCGAACUUCCUGCGAAUCACAGACCAGCUGGGCGAGGACUUCUUCGCUGGAGACUUGGAGUCCUUCUUAGUGGAACACGGGCUGCUCCAGUCUAAAGCGGACGUGCCGACCGUUCUGCAGGAGUCCCACAGUCAGGACGACGACAGCGACUUCGAUGUGGACUGAGGCAGUUUUUGUGAAGAACCAUGUUUGUUUGUCACAGUCCAGGUUUCCUCAAAAACACACCUCCAUGUUCCACAGGUCUGACAACACAGAAUAACAAGGUUCUUCAUCCACAACCAGACACAAAUGCAAAGACAGAUAGAGCUAACGUUUCAAUGACUAUGCGUCACCUUCUUCAGGCAAUUCUGACUGGUUCACAUUGCACUGCAGCUGUAGGUGGCGCUGCUUACAGAUGCGGUCACAAACA